ACGUAGGAGGCAAGCGUUAUCCGGAGUUACUGGGCGUAAAGCGCACGUAGGCGGAUUGCUAAGUCAGGGGUGAAAUCCUGGAGCUCAACUCCAGAACUGCCCUUGAUACUGGCGAUCUCGAGUCCGGGAGAGGUGAGUGGAACUGCGAGUGUAGAGGUGAAAUUCGUAGAUAUUCGCAAGAACACCAGUGGCGAAGGCGGCUCACUGGCCCGGUACUGACGCUGAGGUGCGAAAGCGUGGGGAGCAAACAG
rnacentral:rRNA from 1 species